GACAAGAUAGUUUAUUUGGUACAGGAACUGGAACGCAAUAUUUUGGAUGUUGCGGGUUCGAAUCCUGCUCGUGUCG
rnacentral:tRNA from 1 species